UACGGAGGGUGCAAGCGUUAUCCGGAUUUACUGGGUUUAAAGGGUGUGUAGGCGGGCAUUUAAGUCAGUGGUGAAAUCUCCGAGCUCAACUUGGAAACUGCCAUUGAUACUAUUUAUCUUGAAUUUUGUUGAGGUAGGCGGAAUAAGUCAUGUAGCGGUGAAAUGCAUAGAUAUGACGUAGAACACCAAUUGCGAAGGCAGCUUGCUAAACAAAUAUUGACGCUGAGGCACGAAAGCGUGGGGAUCAAACAGG
rnacentral:rRNA from 1 species